rnacentral:rRNA from 1 species
CAGCAGCCGCGGUAAUACGAAGGGGGCUAGCGUUGUACGGAAUUACUGGGCGUAAAGCGCACGUAGGCGGAUAUUUAAGUCAGGGGUGAAAUCCCAGAGCUCAACUCUGGAACGGCCUUUGAUACUGGGUAUCUUGAGUAUGGAAGAGGUGAGUGGAAUUCCGAGUGUAGAGGUGAAAUUCGUAGAUAUUCGGAGGAACACCAGUGGCGAAGGCGGCUCACUGGUCCAUUACUGACGCUGAGGUGCGAAAGCGUGGGGAGCAAACAGGAUUAGAUACCCCCGUAGUCCCUGUCUCUUAUAC